CUGGGCAACAAAGCGAGACUCUGUCUCAAAAAAAAAAAAAAGAAUCGAACCAGUUCUUCCGGCUGGGGGACACACAGGGAAGAGAAGCAGACAGAGCCAGGAAUGGAAGGAGGAAGAGAGGAUGAUUGUAAAAACAAAGAAAUUAGCGAGAAAGCCAGCCUUGGGCAGAAAUGGCCUCCGGCGUCCCAGCCUAGACUCUGCGCACCGCAGCCUCCUUGUGGAACUACGUUUCCCAGCAGCCUCCAGGGCCCGAGGCGCAGGGCGCUAGGCGGAGCGCGUCUUCUGGCGCGGGCCUGACGCGGACUCCAAUGCUGGCUGUCAGGCGGCAACGUUCUCCCUCCGCCGCCAACAUGGAGGCUGGGCUCGGCCUCCCGCGGAAGACGCUGUGAGGCUGUUGAUGGGGAAAGGCCGAAGUCCCACCUGCCCAGAUGAAGCCGAUGGCUCAGGUCGCGGCCUGGAGGUAGAGGCAGGCGUGGCAGGAGAAGGCAAGAGACUGCUAUUGUGGGCAUAGCGGUAGCUGCCAGGACUGGGCAGAGGGAAGAGAGCUUAUUGAGUGGCAUGGCUCAGGGAGGCAGAA